UGCUGCUGCUUGAUUGACCCACCUUUGUUCUGGAGCUUUUUGUUUUUGUUUUUGUUUGAAGGUUUGGUGGAGGGAGACUGGGGACAAGGAGAGGGAGCGGCAGCUGCACCAGAUCAGCUGAUUAGGGGGUUGACUACUUAAGGAGAUGGUGAACACAGCUCGACGCCAGAUGAUUACUACGACUAGGUAGUUUCCUGCCUUCACUCUAGUCCUCAGGGUUUCUCUUGGAAAUACUCUAGUGUGUUUGAUCUAGUGAUUUUUGUAUUUUUGGCCUACCUGCCUAAGGUUCUCUGCACACCUGGAAUCACUCGCUCAACUCCCAUAGGACUCCUGGACUCCUCGCUCAGUCACGUUCAUCAUCAUCCUUUCUGACCGACCCGCUCUCUCUCUCGCCCCCACGCUCCCUCUCCAGCUCUGAGCAUCUCCCCUCUGGAUCCACCCCGGCUCUCAACCUCCCCUCAUUUCCCAAACCCAGUCAUCCUCCACGCUGUUUCCCAUUCUCCUGAUCUGCUGGAAUUCCCAGCGCGUCCUCAGUUCUCAUUAUUAUUAUUGUUUUUUAACAUCAAUCUGUGUACGGGUUUGUGAUUCUGCAUGUCUUGGGUUAGACACCUUCCCCAAACCAUAACAAAUAAAUAUAGGGAUUUGUCAUCUAGUGACUUGUUUCACUCUAAUAUUGCGAUUGAUAUAUUUUAGUUUUGAUAUUGUUUAUAUGUAGUUUCCAAGAUAUCUGUAUCUUCCCUUCAUUUCUUCUUCACUUCAGUUUUAAAAUUUGCCAAAAAAGAGGGAGACUAAAAAGAUGGCUUUUAAUUGUAUUGUAAUGUGAUAAAGUGAUUUGUAAAUGUAUGUGCGCAGAAAUCUGUUUGUUUGGUUCAACCAUUUAAAAUAAAAUGGACUGAACCGGA